CCUUACUGCUAUCGGGGUGAGACUAAGCAAUGCAAGUCGCGCGUCUCAAGCUAUGGUGAGACGCGGCAAACGGCUCAGUAACACGUGGCUAACCUACCCUUAGGACGGGGACAACCCCGGGAAACUGGGGCUAAUCCCCGAUAGGUGAAGAAGCCUGGAAUGGUUCUUCGCUCAAAGGGCGUUGGGGGCACGCUCCCCAAUGUUGCCUGAGGAUGGGGCCGCGGCCGAUCAGGUUGUUGGUGAGGUAACGGCUCACCAAGCCUUUAACCGGUACGGGCCAUGAGAGUGGAAGCCCGGAGAUGGGCACUGAGACAAGGGCCCAGGCCCUACGGGGUGCAGCAUGCGCGAAACCUCCGCAAUGCGCGAAAGCGUGACGGGGUUACCCCGAGUGCCGUCCGCUGAGGAUGGCUUUUCUCCGGUGUAAGGAGCCAGAGGAAUAAGGGGAGGGCAAGACUGGUGUCAGCCGCCGCGGUAAUACCAGCUCCCCGAGUGGUAGGGACGAUAUUGAGCUUAAAGCGUCCGUAGCCGGCUUGGCAAGUCUUCCGUUAAAUCCAGCGACUCAAUCGCUGGGCCGCGAAAGAUACUGUCAGGCUAGGGGACGGGAGAGGCCGACGGUAUUCCCGGAGUAGGGGUGAAAUCCUAUAAUCCCGGGAGGACCACCAGUGGCGAAGGCGGUCGGCUAGAACGCGCCCGACGGUGAGGGACGAAAGCUGGGGGAGCGAACCGGAUUAGAUACCCGGGUAGUCCCAGCUGUAAACGAUGCGGGCUAGGUGUUGGAGCGGUUACGAACCGCUUCGGUGCCGCAGGGAAGCCGUUAAGCCCGCCGCUUGGGAAGUACGGUCGCAAGGCUGAAACUUAAAGGAAUUGGCGGGGGAGCACCACAAGGCGUGAAGCUUGCGGUUCA
rnacentral:rRNA from 1 species